rnacentral:lncRNA from 10 species
AGGAAUGAAGCUAUUAAUAGUUCACCUUCAACACACCUACAGAUACUUAUAUUUUUACCGAUAAAGAAAUUAUCAAAAUGUAAUAUUAACCACCUCAGGUAUUAUAAAAGUAUGUAAAUCAUGUUAAUGAAUGGUAAUUGCUAAUUUGGCCACCUGAUUAUAAAGAGUUGUAUGUUGUAUUUUGAUUUUCUAUCUAAUCCUCAAAUUUAAAAAGACAACUGGGAGUUGACUUUUCAAAUGAGCAUUUAGGUUAUCUGAUUAUUUUAUAUUGAAUUUGCAACACUUACUCAUAAAUGUUUUGUUUUGUUGAUGAUCACCAUAUCAUGUUGCUUUGCAGAAAAUAUAAUUGUUAACAGAUAGAGAUGUGGUGCCCUAGAAGGCAGAGAAUUUUCUUUAACAUCAAGUCAAUAUUUUCUCUCGUAGGAGAGGAAGUCAGUAUUCUCUCUCUUUAUGAAAAUGACAGGAAAAGUCAAUUGUGAUAUUAAUAGUGGUCCUGGAAGAAAUGGUGCUGGUGGUAGUUGUGGUACAGGUAAGAUAAGCAGUGUGUAAAGUAUUUGAGAUGUUACCUCUGGUGUCAUACUACCUGAAUUUGAAUGCCAGUGCCACUAAUUUCCUAGCUAUGUCUUUGGGCCAAUUUUUUAAUACUUUCUAUGAUUUGGUUUUCUUAUGUAAAACCUCUUCAGAUUCCAUUCAUUCCUCUCCAGAUUCCAUUCAACAUUUGUUUAUUGAGUGAUAACCUAAUCUAGGCUGUAUAUUAGAGCUAUGGACAUAGAUGAAAUUGUUUAUAUGUGGCUGGGUGCAGUGGUUCAUGCCUGUAAUCCCAGCACUUUGGGAGGUCAAGGUGGGUAGAUCACCUGAGGUCAAAGUUUUGUAAGCAGCCUGGCCAACAUGGUGAAACCCAGUCUCUACUAAUAAUACAAAAAUUAGCCAGGCAUGUUGGGGCAUAUCUGUAAUCCCAGCUACUCAGGAGGCUGAGGCAGGAGAAUCACUUGAACCCAGGAGGCC